AAUAGUUUAGUAAUGAUAAAAGGAUGAUAAAAGAUAUACCAUGUAAACAGUAACCAAAAGAGAGCUGGAAUGGCUAUACUAACAUCAGGAAAAA